GACGUAGGGCGCGAGCGUUGUCCGGAUUUAUUGGGCGUAAAGAGCUCGUAGGCGGCUUGUCGCGUCGGCUGUGAAAUCCCGUGGCUCAACUGCGGGUCUGCAGCCGAUACGGGCAGGCUAGAGUUCGGUAGGGGAGACUGGAAUUCCUGGUGUAGCGGUGAAAUGCGUAGAUAUCGAGAGGAACACCUGCGGCGAAGGCGGGUAGCUGGGCCGACACUGACGCUGAGGCGCGAAAGCCAGGGGAGCGAACGGG
rnacentral:rRNA from 1 species